GAUGAACGCUAGCUACAGGCUUAACACAUGCAAGUCGAGGGGAAACGAUAUUGGAAGCUUGCUUCCGAUAGGCGUCGACCGGCGCACGGGUGAGUAACGCGUAUCCAACCUGCCCACCACUUGGGGAUAACCUUGCGAAAGUAAGACUAAUACCCAAUGAUGUCCAUAGAAGACAUCUGAAAUGGAUUAAAGAUUUAUCGGUGAUGGAUGGGGAUGCGUCUGAUUAGCUUGUUGGCGGGGUAACGGCCCACCAAGGCGACUAUCAGUAGGGGGUCUGAGAGACAGGUCCCCCACAUUGGAACUGAGACACGUCCCCAACUCCUACGGGAGGCAGCAGUGAGGAAUAUUGGUCAAUGGGCGAGAGCCUGAACCAGCCAAUUAGCGUGCAGUAUGACGGCCCUAUGGGUUGUAAACUGCUUUUAUAAGGGAAUAAAGUGAGCCUCGUGAGGCUUUUUGCAUGUACCUUAUGAAUAAGGACCGGCUAAUUCCGUGCCAGCCGCCGCGGUAA
rnacentral:rRNA from 1 species